GCGGGUAUGGUUUAGUGGUAGAAUGCGACCUUCCCAAGGUUGAGAUCGGGGUUCGAUUCCCCGUACCUGCACAA
rnacentral:tRNA from 2 species